AACGAACGCUGGCGGCAUGCCUAACACAUGCAAGUCGAACGAGACCUUCGGGUCUUGUGGCGCACGGGUGCGUAACGCGUGGGAACCUGCCCUUAGGUUCGGAAUAACUCCCCGACAGGGGUGCUAAUACCGGAUCAUGUCUUCGGACCAAAGAUUUAUCGCCUUUGGAUGGGCACGCGUUGGAUUCGCUAGUUGGUAGGGUAAAAGCCUACCAAGGCGACGAUCCAUAGCUGGUCUGAGAGGAUGAUCAGCCACACUUGGACUGAGACACGGCCCAGACUCCUACGGGAUGCAGCAGUGGGGAAUAGUGGACCACGGGCUAAAGCAUGAUCCAGCAAUGCCGCGUGAGUGAUGAAGGCCUUAGGGUUGUAAAGCGCUUUUACCCGGGAUGAUAAUGACAGUACCGGGAGAAUAAGCCCCGGCUAACUCCGUG
rnacentral:rRNA from 1 species